AUUGAACGCUGGCGGCAUGCCUUACACAUGCAAGUCGAACGGUAACAGGUCUUCGGAUGCUGACGAGUGGCGAACGGGUGAGUAAUACAUCGGAACGUGCCCGAGAGUGGGGGAUAACGAGGCGAAAGCUUUGCUAAUACCGCAUACGAUCUCAGGAUGAAAGCAGGGGACCGCAAGGCCUUGCGCUCACGGAGCGGCCGAUGGCAGAUUAGGUAGUUGGUGGGAUAAAAGCGUACCAAGCCGACGAUCUGUAGCUGGUCUGAGAGGGCGACCAGCCACACUGGGCCUGAGGCACGGCCCAGACUCCUACGGGAGGCAGCAGUGGGGAAUUUUGGACAAUGGGCGCAAGCCUGAUCCAGCCAUGCCGCGUGCAGGAUGAAGGCCUUCGGGUUGUAAACUGCUUUUGUACGGAACGAAAAGACUCUGGUUAAUACCUGGGGUCCAUGACGGUACCGUAAGAAUAAGCACCGGCUAACUGCGUGCCAGCAGCCGCCGUAACAC
rnacentral:rRNA from 1 species